UAACUGUUGUUUUGCUAGACA
rnacentral:piRNA from 1 species